rnacentral:tRNA from 3 species
UAGACAGAAGCUUGUUGGUUUGAGCGUCUAACUGUUAAUUAGAAGUUUAUGGGAUCGAGGCCCAUUUGUCUAG